UCCCUGGUUGUCCAGUGGUUAGGAUGCUGUGCUCCCAGUGCAGGGAGCCCAGGUUCGAUCCCUGGUUGGGGAA
rnacentral:tRNA from 1 species